UCUCAUGUUGGUAUGGGAGAAAUGAAGCUGGUAUAUCAGUGGCUUGUUCCACGAAAUCCGGACAUGGGAUGGCGCAUUGUUUCUGAAGAGAGCCGUUUCUACAUUUCCUCGGUACCAAGGGGCAUUUAUGCAUAGGUGUCAAGCUCCAAUGUAAACCUUGAAAAAAGUUUGGCUCUGGGGCGUUUCUCAUGCGCUGCAACCUUUUGAUUUUAUUCAUCCUGCCAGGAUUCAGCGUUUGCCACGCAAAUAUUUGCUAACUCCCAUGGCUUGAUGUGCAAAUCAAGGAUCGCGAGUCGAGGUUGGGAAUAAAUUCCUUUCAUUCCCAGUUUCCCAGAUCGGGAUCAGGGAUAAUUAUUGGUAGAUAUUAAGAAACAUGGGAUCUUUGAGGG
rnacentral:sRNA from 2 species